rnacentral:rRNA from 1 species
UGGCGGACGGGUGAGUAAUGUCUGGGAAACUGCCUGAUGGAGGGGGAUAACUACUGGAAACGGUAGCUAAUACCGCAUAACGUCGUAAGACCAAAGAGGGGGACCUUAGGGCCUCUUGCCAUCGGAUGUGCCCAGAUGGGAUUAGCUAGUAGGUGGGGUAACGGCUCACCUAGGCGACGAUCCCUAGCUGGUCUGAGAGGAUGACCAGCCACACUGGAACUGAGACACGGUCCAG